CGGCGGCGGCGGCUCUGGGCG
rnacentral:miRNA from 1 species